rnacentral:lncRNA from 1 species
CAAUUUCAUGGGAUUUUGGGUGAAAUUAAUGGGAUUUUGGGUCAAGAUAAUGGCAUUCUGGGUCAAAUUAAUGGGAUUUUGGGUCAAGAUAAUGGGAUUCUGGGAGAAAUUUAUUGAAUUUUGGGAGAAAUUAAUGGGAUUUUGGGUCAACUUCAUGGGAUUUUGGGUCAAGAGAAUGGGAUUUUGGGUCGAGUAACAAGACUUGGAGUCAACUUCAUGAGAUUUUGGGUCAACAUAACGCGAUUUUGGGUCAAGAGAAUGGGAUUUUUGAGUCAAUUCUUGGGAUUCUGGGUCAACUCUUGGGAUUUUGAGGCAACUUAACAGGAUUUUGGGUCAAGUUAGCAGGAUUUUGGGUCAAGUUUUGGGAUUUUGAGUCAACUUAUUGGGAUUUUGAGUCAAGUAACAAGACUUUGGGUCAACUUAACGGGUUUUUGUGUCAACUUAGCGGGAUGUUGGGUCAGGAGAAUGGGAUUUCGAGUCAACUCUUGGGAUUUUGAGUCAACUUAUUGGGAUUUUGGGUCAACUCUUGGGAUUUUGAGUCAAGUUUUGGGAUUUUGAGUCAGCUUAACAGGAUUUUGGGUCAAGUUGGUGGGAUUUUGGGUCAAGUUAGCAGGAUUUGGGGUGGAAUUCUCAUCUUUUUGCUGCUCUGGCUGCACUAUAGAGCCAAGUAGAGCGUGAUGGGGCAGUGAUCGCUGCCCAUGGCCUUGUUGCGGAUCUUGGAAUCGCACAGGGCC